GCCCGUAAUAAUAGUUGGUUCGAUAUGCAAAUUUUAAAUUCUCUCUCUCUACAUCGUGGAACAAAAGAGAUUUUAAUUUCUGCUUCAGCCGACCCUAUUUUUGAUGUAUUCAUGGUGUUGGGCAACUAAAGUAUGAAAAGAAUGGAACAAAACGAGGAAAAGAGACAAGAAAGAAAGAGAGGGUUGGGUUGUUGAGUUGUGGGGGAAAAAAAAGAAAGAAAAAAGAAAGAAAAAGAAACUGUUUGAACAGAUAAAGUUAUAGUGGGGGGUUGAAAAAGAAGAAGAAGAAGAAGAAGAAGAAGAAGAAGAAGAAGAUCACAUGGGUCGGGCCACAAUGGGUCUCUGUAGUUCACCAUUUGUAGAUUGAAGCAAUGGCCCACCUUAGAAAUGGCAUGUGCAGAAACUGAGCACGUGAAGGAAGCCCACUGGGCCGAUGGAGGGGCGGGCGCCGGAGAUGUCAGCCCCUCGCCGUCUCCCCAUUUUCCUCUCUUUUCUUUUCACCACUUCCUAUAAUUCGCCUUGUCCUGUCCUCAUCAUGCUUCAGUACUUUGAACACUGUUCCGCAGUCUUCAAUCUCUUCUUUCUCUGCGACUCGAAGUGAGUGAUCCUGAUCCUCCAUCUACGCUGUGGACCCCUAUACACUAUACAGUUUGACGUUCGCCAUCAUGAUCCACGUCUCCAUUGAGGCAUUUAAGCAAACACUUGACAUUGGUUUGGCUUUAGAGAGAGAGCUGUACGAUUGGAACUUAUAAUAUCAAAAAGUCAACAUAAUUAUAGUACUAACAUGGACAACUGCAGCUGUAUGAAAUUCUAAAUGACACUCCAAAAAGUUGAAGCUCAAAAGGACCCAUUUCUUAUUGUGGAAUAGACAUUUCAUUGGAUUCCUUUUUAUGGAAAGAACUUCUCUUUGAUUUUCCUUCAAUCAAGUGGUAGAAAACAGGGGACGACAAAGAGAAAGAGAUCAGAAAAGGUGUAAAGAUAAUUUUGACAAUAAUUUUUUCUCAAGUUAGAUUGGCAAAAUGGAAACAGAUUAGCAGUUAGAAGUUUGUAUUUGGAUAGAAAUGUGAAAUUCUUCCUAGCUUCUGGUCAUCCAGGUUUUUUCAGAUUGAAUCAGAAAACAGACGAGUUAUACUCAACACUUGCUUAAGCAUGUCAUCUUUCACAAUGGCUUCCCAUAAAAUAUAAAGAAUGACCAAAGUAAGCAGAUGGGAUAAGAGUGACCACUGUGGCUGAAGCUUUUCGGAAAUAUGGGCUCAUCGACCAUUUUGGGGAGAAACAGGCCUAAAGAACUAUGCCGUAUUUGUAAUUCUACAGUGUUCUGAAAUUAGGCAUGGUGGUGGGAAUAUAGAUUGGGGAGCAGUUAGUAGGUGGCAUAUGAGCUUGUUCAAGGGCCUUGUGGCUUUAGCUGUUCCUUGCUUUCCAAGAUCUCCACAAACUAAAUCUGUUAGAAUUUAUCAGAAGGUUAAUUUGAGAUGGGUCAAAUGUGGUCCAGUUUCUGGUCAGCACAAGAAUUUCCUCUUUGUUUUUCAACAGGAAUGAAGACUGAACUCCUUUGUACUUGUUUGUGGUGAAGGGACCAAGAAGAGCAGAGAGCAUUUUCAAAGUAUGAUUACAUGAUGGUGGUGGAGAAAGAAUCCAUCUCAGCUCCUGCUGAUAUGGGGAUAUCAUUGAUUACCUUACCUAGGGAUGCCAAUGGAGCUGGCCCCCAUGGAUAACCGAAGAGGAGUUCCAAGUGUAUGCUGAUGACUUCGAAAAUCUGGCUUCACCGGUCCUUUAAACUACUUUCGUGCUAUGGACAUGUAAGUAAGCAGUAAUGAUCAUG